rnacentral:rRNA from 1 species
GAUGAACGCUGGCGGCGUGCCUAAUACAUGCCAGUCGAGCGAACAGAUGAGGAGCUUGCUCCUCUGACGUUAGCGGCGGACGGGUGAGUAACACGUGGAUAACCUACCUAUAAGACUGGGAUAACUUCGGGAAACCGGAGCUAAUACCGGAUAAUAUAUUGAACCGCAUGGUUCAAUAGUGAAAGACGGUUUUGCUGUCACUUAUAGAUGGAUCCGCGCCGCAUUAGCUAGUUGGUAAGGUAACGGCUUACCAAGGCAACGAUGCGUAGCCGACCUGAGAGGGUGAUCGGCCACACUGGAACUGAGACACGGUCCAGACUCCGACGGGAGGCAGCAGUAGGGAAUCUUCCGCAAUGGGCGAAAGCCUGACGGAGCAACGCCGCGUGAGUGAUGAAGGUCUUCGGAUCGUAAAACUCUGUUAUUAGGGAAGAACAAAUGUGUAAGUAACUAUGCACGUCUUGACGGUACCUAAUCAGAAAGCCACGGCUAACUACGUG